rnacentral:rRNA from 1 species
UGGGGAAUAUUGGACAAUGGGCGAAAACCUGAUCCAGCCAUGCCGCGUGAGUGAUGAAGGCCCUAGGGUUGUAAAGCUCUUUUAACGGGGAAGAUAAUGACGGUACCCGUAGAAUAAGCCCCGGCUAACUUCGUGCCAGCAGCCGCGGUAAUACGAGGGGGGCUAGCGUUGCUCGGAAUCACUGGGCGUAAAGCGCACGUAGGCGGACUCUUAAGUCGGUGGUGAAAUCCUGGAGCUCAACUCCAGAACUGCCUUCGAUACUGGGAGUCUCGAGUUCGGGAGAGGUGAGUGGAACUGCGAGUGUAGAGGUGAAAUUCGUAGAUAUUCGCAAGAACACCAGUGGCGAAGGCGGCUCACUGGCCCGAUACUGACGCUGAGGUGCGAAAGCGUGGGGAGCAAACA